UCGAGAAGCAAAAGGAGAUCCUUAGAAAAUCUCUGGAGGGAUAACUAAUCAGACCCUCGGAAGGCCGUCGAGAGUGCAAGAUGCUGUAGGCAUAAGCUCGCCGCUGGCACACACUGCCUCUCAUACGAAGAUGAGAAGAGCUAGAUACCGUAGGCAUGCGAUCGCUGCAGGCACACAACGUCACUCGUAAGAAAUAGCUAAUUAGACGCUAGAGGAAGAAUAAAAUAGACAACAUAUGGCUAGAGUAAUCAUAUCAACAGCAUUACUUUCGUCUGAAGCGUUGUCUCAGACUCAAAAAUAGGGGGAUAGUGUUGAGAUGGCUAUUAUGAUGCCUUAGUUAUGUUAAGACCGAGUUACCUAGAACU
rnacentral:lncRNA from 1 species